rnacentral:lncRNA from 1 species
GGCCAAACGGCCGGAAAACACGGCCGAAAGCCAGCGGCGCCGCCACGCCCCUCCUCGAUUUUUGCCUCCGAUGAGGCCCUUCCCGGCCUCCGUUUAAUGCAAUUUUUAUACCACUGUGAUCACCAUUCUUUUCUCUACAGGUUGAUCAGAGCCGAAUCACCAAAACACGAACUUCACCGGAGAGCCGCCGCACCCGAGAGCACCGCCACCGGUAAGCUUCAGUUUUCCGUAAAUUUUCGGCCCCCCGAGGGCCGUAGGGUUGUUUUAUCGCAUGAACCAAUGCGAG